rnacentral:rRNA from 1 species
AUUGAACGCUGGCGGCAGGCCUAACACAUGCAAGUCGAGCGAGCGGCGGACGGGUGAGUAAUGUCUGGGAAACUGCCUGAUGGAGGGGGAUAACUACUGGAAACGGUAGCUAAUACCGCAUACCAUCAGAUGUGCCCAGAUGGGAUUAGCUAGUAGGUGGGGUAACGGCUCACCUAGGCGACGAUCCCUAGCUGGUCUGAGAGGAUGACCAGGCACACUGGAAACGAGACACGGUCCAGACUCCCACGUGAGAAAGCAGGGGGGAAUAGUGCACAAUGGGCGCAAGCCUGAUUGAGCCAUGCCGCGGGUGGGAAGAAGGCCUUCGGGGUGGAAAGGACUUUCAGCGGGGAGGCGUUACCCGCAGAAGAAGCACCGGCUAACUCCGUGCCAGCAGCCGCGGUAAUAC